UCCUCCUUACAGAGGCAGUUUUGUCCGAGUAUGUCAAGGGCAGGUAAGGUUCUUCGCGUUGCAUCGAAUUAAACCACAUGCUCCACCGCUUGUGCGGGUCCCCGUCGAUUCCUUUGAGUUUUACCGUUGCCGGCGUACUCCCCAGGCGGAGAACUUAACGCGUUAGCUGCGACACCGAGAGGCAAACCCUCCCAACAUCUAGUUCUCAUCGUUUACGGCGUGGACUAC
rnacentral:misc_RNA from 1 species